rnacentral:rRNA from 1 species
GAUGAACGCCAGCUACAGGCUUAACACAUGCAAGUCGAGGGGUAACAAGAGGAAAGCUUGCUUUUCUUGUUGACGACCGGCGCACGGGUGAGUAACGCGUAUCCAACCUGCCUAUAACUAGGGAAUAACCUUGCGAGAGUAAGACUAAUACCCUAUGAUUUCCUUUGAUGACAUCAGAUUAGGAAUAAAGAUUUAUCGGUUAUAGAUGGGGAUGCGUCUGAUUAGCUUGUUGGCGGGGUAACGGCCCACCAAGGCAACGAUCAGUAGGGGUUCUGAGAGGAAGGUCCCCCACAUUGGAACUGAGACACGGUCCAAACUCCUACGGGAGGCAGCAGUGAGGAAUAUUGGUCAAUGGGCGGAAGCCUGAACCAGCCAAGUAGCGUGCAGGAUGACGGCCCUAUGGGUUGUAAACUGCUUUUAUACAGGAAUAAAGUUAGCCACGUGUGGUUAUUUGUAGGUACUGUAUGAAUAAGGACCGGCUAAUUCCGUGCCAGCAGCCGCGGUAAUAC